rnacentral:rRNA from 1 species
AUACGUAGGUGGCAAGCGUUGUCCGGAAUUAUUGGGCGUAAAGCGCGCGCAGGUGGUUCCUUAAGUCUGAUGUGAAAGCCCCCGGCUCAACCGGGGAGGGUCAUUGGAAACUGGGGAACUUGAGUGCAGAAGAGGAUAGUGGAAUUCCAAGUGUAGCGGUGAAAUGCGUAGAGAUUUGGAGGAACACCAGUGGCGAAGGCGACUGUCUGGUCUGUAACGGACACUGAGGCGCGAAAGCGUGGGGAGCAAGCAGGAUUAGAUACCCUGGUAGUCCACGCCGUAAACGAUGAGUGCUAAGUGUUGGGGGGUUUCCGCCCCUCAGUGCUGCAGCUAACGCAUUAAGCACUCCGCCUGGGGAGUACGGUCGCAAGACUGAAACUCAAAUGAAUUGACGGGG